rnacentral:rRNA from 1 species
UGGGGAAUAUUGGACAAUGGGCGCAAGCCUGAUCCAGCCAUGCCGCGUGAGUGAUGAAGGCCUUAGGGUUGUAAAGCUCUUUCGCUCGGGACGAUAAUGACGGUACCGAGAUAAGAAGCCCCGGCUAACUUCGUGCCAGCAGCCGCGGUAAUACGAAGGGGGCUAGCGUUGUUCGGAAUUACUGGGCGUAAAGCGCGUGUAGGCGGGUCUUUAAGUCAGGGGUGAAAUGCCAAGGCUCAACCUUGGAACUGCCUUUGAUACUGGAGAUCUUGAGUCCGGGAGAGGUGAGUGGAAUUGCGAGUGUAGAGGUGAAAUUCGUAGAUAUUCGCAAGAACACCAGUGGCGAAGGCGGCUCACUGGCCCGGAACUGACGCUGAGACGCGAAAGCGUGGGGAGCAAACAGGAUUAGAUACCCUGGUAGUCCACGCUGUAAACGAUGGAUGCUAGCCGUUGGGGAGCUUGCUCUUCAGUGGCGCAGCUAACGCUUUAAGCAUCCCGCCUGGGGAGUACGGUCGCAAGA